rnacentral:lncRNA from 1 species
AGGGAGAAGGGAGCUGAGCCCUCAGCCUCAGAAGAAAGACAUUGAACAACUUGAGAGUGAAAGAAAAGGAGCGCAUGAGUUGAGAGGAGAUAUUCCAUCACCCUUUCAGCUGACAAUACACCACUCUCCAGGCAGGAGGUUGGGCUGGAAGUUUGCGGACUACACCCCGAGGCCUGUCCUCUUCCCUGGAAGAAAUAAGAAGAAAGGAGCGCGCGGGCGGCCCGAGCCUCGGCGGCGGCGGCGGCGGCGGCAGCGACGGCGCUGACACCUCCCACCAUGGACAGCUUCGACAUAGCCCUGCUCCAGGAAUGGGACCUCGAGUCGCUGUGGUGAGUCCCGGUGCCGGCCGGCCCGCCGAACGAGCGAGCGGCGAGGGGCGAGGGGCGGCCUCACCUGGGCCGGGGGCUCGGGCGGCCGGCCGCCGUGGGGGCGGGGUGGGUCGGGGGUGCCUGCGGCGCCGACCCCUUACUGCUUGCCCCGAUGGGAGGCCCGGCCGCCCUCGGGUCUUCUCGGCCCUCUCUCCCGCGCCCUACCCCUGGCGCUGCCGCCCCAGCCCGGGGGCCAGUGAUCUGGGGAGCCUGGGACGGAGCGCAGCCGUGGAGAGAAAAGGAACCGAUUUCUGGGAAAUGUCAGUAGUGCCCAGGGAUCCACCCCUCGGUCCCCUAGCCCUUCUCACCUCCCUUCCCUCCGUUGGCGCCCCUCCCUCUUCUCCGCGACCCCCUGGAGUUGGGGCUGCAGCGAAGUGCCCUUAGAGGAUGCUCCAGCCUCCCGCCUGUCUGCGCUGGGUCCUGGCGGCCGCAUCCUCUCUGUCUCUCCCGCCCACUCCCACCCGAGACGGAAAGUGCACCCGAGGGCAGGGGGCGAGGGUUUCUCUGGGCGGGAAUUCCAGGCCUGGGAGCCUCAUUUCCGCGAGGUUCGCAAUUCCUUGGGGCCCUCUCUUCACACCUCGCCUCGCUACAGUCCCACUCCUCUCCCCGCUCCAGCCCACCGGCGCCCUGGGUGUCCCUUUAUUCCACGCUCACAGCUCGCAGCCUGGGGAGCGGGCGGCCGGGGGAGCCCUCCGGGUUCUGUGGCGCGGGGUUCUCACAUUGAGGAGCUGCUGUAGGUAAAGCGCCGCUGGAAGCAGUUUAAUUCUAGUUGCGGGUGUCUUAAAAAUCCCAUUGGCUGCCUCCACGUCCCUCUUAUCCCCCCUCCCCCUCCCCAGUCUCCUAAAGGUUUCCAACCAGCCCUAUUCAGGUGGUAAAAUUACUGCUUGCAUAUUCCUGGAGGAACUUGAGUUAUGUUUAAUAUUUACGGGAAUGAACAUCUGUGAAACAAGCAUAUUAACUGCACUCUGUUCUGCCUCUGGUAACGGCUUAUUGUAGAGCGGAGGUUUCUUUUCUUUUUUAUACCCCCCCUCUUUCUUCUUGAAUUCAGGAAAGAGUUCACAUGUGUCUAAAACUGCAAGUGGUGUGCACAUGAAUAUGCAACGUGCAGUUUUAAAGCUAAACUGCCUUAUGAUUUAUAGAUCAUUUAGAUGAUAUGUGGAUUCGGGUAUGUUUUCAGUGAUUUAGGCUUCCAGUGACUGAGCUGUCAAAUGCCAGGUGUAACUAACAAAACUGGACACAAAGCUGGUUCAUUAUGGAGCAGUUUCUUAUAAAAGAUCCCAGGAUGAGUUAAGUACAGCUUGCUUUGCAUAAUGCUGGCACCUAUAAAAUACACAAGGAUGGGCCCUAAUGUAAUAAAACUUUUAUAUAUUACACUGGAAACUUCAAAGAACCGGUGUAGAAAGAAUAUGAAACAUGUUAUUACUCUAUAAAAGUUGCUAAUUGCUGUGUUGUUGCUCCUGGGGUUAUUUCAUGUUUUCAUUUACAAAUAUCUAUUAUUUUACAGGUUUACACUUAGAAAUGUUGGUUUCUGGCUCAAGUUCAGUAGGUUUGCAGAUAGUAACUGUGCUUUCAAAAUGAUAUUUGCUUUUCAAAGGCAGUUUUUCAGUCAAAGGGAAGCACUUUUUGUUUGGCAGAUUUGUGUGCUGCUUGUCUGCUUGCUGACUCAAAACUAAAGCCCCCUUAUGACUUUUACGAGUAAUAUUUUGGAAUUAGCAGCUAUAAUCUGUGGCUUUUCCACACAGGCCAGAGCUCUCUUGCCCUAUGCAUCUUUAGUUCCCAGCGGGUUACCUGCAGCUCAGUUACACAAUAAAUGUCUGUUGAAGAGCCUUGAGAUUUACAUUAGUUGAAGUACUUUUCUUAUUGUUAGAAA